rnacentral:rRNA from 1 species
GAUGAACGCUGGCGGCGUGCCUAAUAUAUGCAAGUCGAGCGAACGGACGAGAAGCUUGCUUCUCUGAUGUUAGCGGCGGACGGGUGAGUAACACGUGGAUAACCUACCUAUAAGACUGGGAUAACUUCGGGAAACCGGAGCUAAUACCGGAUAAUAUUUUGAACCGCAUGGUUCAAAAGUGAAAGACGGUCUUGCUGUCACUUAUAGAUGGAUCCGCGCUGCAUUAGCUAGUUGGUAAGGUAACGGCUUACCAAGGCAACGAUGCAUAGCCGACCUGAGAGGGUGAUCGGCCACACUGGAACUGAGACACGGUCCAGACUCCUACGGGAGGCAGCGGUAGGGAAUCUUCCGCAAUGGGCGAAAGCCUGACGGAGCAACGCCGCGUGAGUGAUGAAGGUCUUCGGAUCGUAAAACUCUGUUAUUAGGGAAGAACAUAUGUGUAAGUAACUGUGCACAUCUUGACGGUACCUAAUCAGAAAGCCACGGCUAACUACGUGCCAGCAGCCGCGGUAAUACGUAGGUGGCAAGCGUUAUCCGGAAUUAUUGGGCGUAAAGCGCGCGUAGGCGGUUUUUUAAGUCUGAUGUGAAAGCCCACGGCUCAACCGUGGAGGGUCAUUGGAAACUGGAAAACUUGAGUGCAGAAGAGGAAAGUGGAAUUCCAUGUGUAGCGGUGAAAUGCGCAGAGAUAUGGAGGAACACCAGUGGCGAAGGCGACUUUCUGGUCUGUAACUGACGCUGAUGUGCGAAAGCGUGGGGAUCAAACAGGAUUAGAUACCCUGGUAGUCCACGCCGUAAACGAUGAGUGCUAAGUGUUAGGGGGUUUCCGCCCCUUAGUGCUGCAGCUAACGCAUUAAGCACUCCGCCUGGGGAGUACGACCGCAAGGUUGAAACUCAAAGGAAUUGACGGGGACCCGCACAAGCGGUGGAGCAUGUGGUUUAAUUCGAAGCAACGCGAAGAACCUUACCAAAUCUUGACAUCCUUUGACAACUCUAGAGAUAGAGCCUUCCCCUUCGGGGGACAAAGUGACAGGUGGUGCAUGGUUGUCGUCAGCUCGUGUCGUGGGAUGUUGGGUUAAGUCCCGCAACGAGCGCAACCCUUAAGCUUAGUUGCCAUCAUUAAGUUGGGCACUCUAAGUUGACUGCCGGUGACAAACCGGAGGAAGGUGGGGAUGACGUCAAAUCAUCAUGCCCCUUAUGAUUUGGGCUACACACGUGCUACAAUGGACAAUACAAAGGGCAGCGAAACCGCGAGGUCAAGCAAAUCCCAUAAAGUUGUUCUCAGUUCGGAUUGUAGUCUGCAACUCGACUACAUGAAGCUGGAAUCGCUAGUAAUCGUAGAUCAGCAUGCUACGGUGAAUACGUUCCCGGGUCU